UACGUAGGGGCCAAGCGUUGUCCGGAAUUACUGGGCGUAAAGGGCUCGUAGGUGGCCAACUAAGUCAGACGUGAAAUCCCUCAGCUUAACUGGGGAACUGCGUCUGAUACUGGAUGGCUUGAGUUUGGGAGAGGGAUGCGGAAUUCCAGGUGUAGCGGUGAAAUGCGUAGAUAUCUGGAGGAACACCGGUGGCGAAGGCGGCAUCCUGGACCAUAACUGACGCUGAGGCGCGAAAGCUAGGGGAGCAAACGGG
rnacentral:rRNA from 1 species